rnacentral:lncRNA from 1 species
CAGCACCAGCAGUGCUUCCCCCCCACCUCCCCCCGUUCCCCGCAUCCCCCGUCGGGGUCCGUCGGCUCCGUGGCCUCAGGGCGGCGCUCGCUGGCCGGGAUCGGCCCCCGCUCCGCGCUACCUCCGCACCAGCGCUGCCAUCCGCGGUGCGGCCUUUGUUUGUUUCCUCUGCCAAGCCGAACACCAGCAUUUUAACCGAGCUUUUUUUGUGUUUUGAUUUUUCUUUCCCCCCCCAAACUUUAAGCGAAAGAAGGGAAAAAGCAAAGAGAGAAAGGGUGAACUGGAAAUGCAGACGGUGUGCAGAAACGAAACGAUCCCACAGCUCAGCGAGAGAAUACGUAAGAAUGAUCCCCAUAAACCCGACCCCAGUUUGGGGCGAUCGGAGCCGUCUCAGCCCCAUCCUGGGGCUCUGCACCAAACCCGGCAUCGUGAGCUGAGAUGGGGAGAGCGAGGGGAGCUUCGCUUACAGAAAUAUCAUCUAAUUAGUCCACAGAUGCGGCAAAUCUUCUAAAUUAAUCGAAUAAGACUUUAAGUCGCAACAGGAGCUUUGGGUGGAGCGGGUAAGGCUGAACCUCGAGAAAGAAUCCAGCAGCACUUAAAAGGGAGAAGGAAACGUUGGAUGGCAUUAAAGAAAAGGAGUUGGCAAAACACUUCCAGCAAACCUGCAGUCGGAUACGAGCAUCUACUUAUCCGACAUUAAACCUCUCUCUUCGCUAAGACUUUAUCGGUCCAACAAUUCAUUCGAUUUUUUUUUCCUAUUUUAUUUUUCAUGGGGAAAUCUGACCAAAAAUCUCAGUUUUAGUCUUCUUUUCUUUCUUUCUCCCCCCGAUUAAUCUUUUAAUUAUUUUUAGUUUAUACAUUUCAGGUUAUUUGGGAUUACGUUUAAAUCUCCGAAAAAAAAAAAUCAGUUAAGAAUGAAUAAAUUGAAGAGUAAUAUUGAUAAGAAUUCUAUGGAAAGACCCAACAGAAAUGCAUCCUUCUCUGGGUGUCCCCUUAAACAAAAUACCGCAUUUCUUCCUAUCCUACCAAUUUGUUGGAAAACUUAAUUAAGCUCGGCUACCUUCCAUUAUUUAUAUAAACCCUCCGUCCGGGAGACUUUAAGAGGUUUCUUCUCCGGUUUCCAACAUUGUUAUUAGAAAUCCAUAAAGCAGGGGAGGGGCAGGAAAUUAAAUUUAAAGGUACCUCAUUACGGCACAACUGCUUUCCUAUGGCAGCGGACGGAGACAACACAUGGCGGCAUAAAAGGCUGAGUCCCCCCAGCACGUAGACUUGGCAAUCCUCUCGAAAUGACCUUUUAAUUCCAAGCCUAGCAAGCUUCCGUCCACACAGCGGGCUCUAAGAGUCGGCAGAGAGGGGAGGAAAAUAAACUAAAAUAGAAGAGAGGACACCGAUGCGAAUGGAAGAGCCACGCAGAUGGAAAGCGUGGGGCGGAUGGUGGUUAGUAGUGGGUUUGACUGGGUGGGCAUCAGGAGAGGUAACCGCUAUUGGGGGGGAUUUGUUCCAGAAGUUCCCAGCUUUGCUCCAAGAGGGAUUUCCCUGCCGUGUGUCUGCAGUCCCCGAUUCGUUUCCCGCUGGAUAGUGCAGAUUAAGUGGGUUUCAGCCCAACGCAGAAACAAAGAAACGAUGCUAACCGUGAAGAGUCGGAACCGAGAAUAGACGGAACUCUCAACAGACGGUGCGGAGAAGUGGAGGUGCGAACAAAGAUCGGUUUUGCUCCCGAUCUUUGUUUUAAAGGAGAGCUUGAACUUUGAGAAGACAGAGGAAGAAAUGAUCAUAGAAGCUAAAGAAGGGGGAAGACGAUCAGCUCUGCUCGCCCGUCCGCAGAAGCAGCCAACAGCUUUCUAUCCGGACGGCUGCAGCUGAUGAGAAGCAUUAAGUAUUCUCGGGAAUCUACACGUGGGAAACUACAAAAAGACCAACACGUUACGAACACCACCUCCCUCCCCAGCACUCGGCGAGGCCGAAUCCAGCACCGACUUACCCAUUCCGCUCCUUCUCUUUUUAAUUAAGAUCACUUUUUAAGCAAACUCUCCCACUCCGAAGAAAAAAUAGCAAUAAUAAUAAUAAUAAGAGCCAAGGAAAUAUAUAAAGAAGAGGCAGCCCCACUCGUUGGCAGAGCAUCCUCCCACCACUUGUUAGAGCGAACCUUCCCCAGCUCCGGCCGAUUUCGCGUUAUUUCAUUUUUCUCACUCCUUUCCUAGACUGGCGAGAGAGCAAAGGUGCCGUAAAUUAAUUUUUAACUAAAAGCCCUUUGUGUUAACGAAGGGGGGGGGGGGGGGGAAACAACAACAAACCAACAACCCACCUUCCCUCCUCCCCCUGUUUAGCAGUCUAGACAAAACCACUCUAUUUUGACGGCGGACUGCGGGCUUUCCCUGCUCGCCGCCCAUUCCUGAUUGUUUGCAUUCGCCCCCUGUAAAGCCUGGGGAGGGGACUUCAGUUUUUGUUUAUUUGUUUUACCCACCUUCGAUUUCUGGUGCCGUUUUAGCAUCUUUAGACCCUUGCCUAAAGACGGUAUUUCGUGCCGCGACAAAAAAGAAAAGGCCUAUCUUCUCUUUUUAUUUCCCCCCGGUCCAUAAGGAGCCUCCAGCAGAACGGACACCUCGAAAUCCCCAAUUGCGGUGGGUGCGAAGCCACGUCAUCCCAGAGCCGACUGAGGACAGAGGUUAUGCGGCACCGGGGAAGCUGCGGGCCCGGAGGGGUGGCUGGGUGCGGGACCCCCGGUGCCGGCUGCUGCCGACCCUUUUGCACCCCCAAAGGAGGUGCGAGGGGGGAAACAUCCCCUCAUCCCCCUCCUUUAGAGCUAAGGAGCCGAGGGUGGGUGGCGGAGAGGGGAGUGCUGGGAGCUGCCGGGUGACUGGUGGGCUCCGGCUUUGCGAAAACGGUAUUUUGGGAUAAGGUGGGGGGGGAGAGGGGGGCAAGUCUCUGCCGAUUGACUUAUCUGUUAGAAAAUGCGUGUGCAGGCGGCUUCCGGCGGGGCUCACCAAUCCGGGGCGGACGAGGCUGCUAAGACCAUCCCCUGGUGUCAAUUUUAAUGGGAAACUUCACCGCUUUGCGGGGGGGGAAGAGGGGGGGGGGGGGGGUGCCGCUGCUGCCGCUGCUGCCGCCGCGUAUUUUUUAAUACGAGGACGCGCGGCUGCGGCUCACGCCGACUUUCCCGUUGUUCCUCCCCGCUCCCUCCACUCCGACGCGUUUACUCACACCGCUAUUUCCAGCCUCCCCAUUUUUGGUAUGGGGGCUAUUUUGAGAAAACCCUUUCGGAGGUGAAACAAAACCCCUUGGUUAUACCGAGGCACGAAAACCCAUCCCCAAAAAAUCCAAAGCCAAGCCCAACUGCGUGCGCUCAGCCCGAAGCUUUUGCCAUAGGGGAGGGCUCAGCUCUGUCCCCGCAGCCCCAUGGGACAAAUCCUCACGUCCCCGCAGUCCAUUUGCCCUCGGGCUGUACAAGUCUACGUGCAGGGGAGGGGAAUUUUGUAUGUUACAUGCAAUAAAGCUGCGGUGCUUUUGGGAAUGGAAAAACCACUUGUCGCGUCGGGACACACAAGGAGGAGCCGGGAGGUGACACGCAGAUCCCCAUUGUGGGGUUAGCUCUGGAGCUUGCCCGGCUCAGGAAGCCGCACCCAGCCUGCUCCGAAUAGGAUUUAUACACUGGAUUAGCUGCCUGGCCUCGCACUGCAAUUUAACAAUCACCGGGGAUUCAUUUUGUCUCUAAGAAAAAAAAUAAAUGCGCUUUGUGGCGCAAUCCUCUGCAGGGCUGCAAUUGCCAAGGGAAAAACAAACAAACAACGCAACAACAACGCAACCAAACAUAAAAACCCCAAAUCCCUACAGCAACUCAGAGGGUUCCCGGUGGUUGGAGGCACCGUUUCCAAAAUGGCUCGAGCCGAGAGCGAGAAGAAAAAGGGGAAAAUUGGUUCUUCGUUAGAAUCUCUUUAAUCCAAUCUCUUCGUUAGUAAUCCGCAUCUCCUUCUGGAAUUAAGCCUGAGGGAAAGGAGUGCUGGAAAUCUGUUCAAGCUCAUGAUGGGAGGAGAUGGUUUAUAACCGCAACUGGUUCUGUAUUCGCGGCACAUACUCAAAAAAUAAAACGGAGCGGAUUUUAGUAGCUACUAAUGGGCAGUUAUUAUAGAAAGGGCAAUCGAAGGGAUUUAAAAGAUUUUGGAAAUUAGAGGUAUAAACCGAAAAUUCAUACAUAUGGAGAGGAAGAGAGAGGAGACUUUUUUCGAAGCUCUCCGAGACCCGGAGGGGUCUUUGCUCUCUUUUCUGUGGUCUCCUUUCCCGAUGCUCCCAGGACUGAGCGCAGCACCCGGAUUGCAGCAGCUGGGUGCUACAAAGUCGGGGGCUUUUCCCCCAUUUCAGCGCCUUUCUGCCUCUCUUCUCUUCCAAUCGCUUUCCCACUUGCUCUUUCAACAGCCUUUUGUACAGCAAUGGGGAACGUAGCCAAAAAUCCUCCAUUAAUAAAGAAUAUAAUUCCUCCUUCAGGGUCUGAUCCUGCACUGUGACCCCUCGGGGAGGCGGGGGGGCUUUUCCGUGCAGACUCGUCCCUGUCCUUUCCCCUAUGGGCCAAAGUCCAGGCUCGCUUUGCACACUGGCAGCCCGCGGUGCCUCCACCCCGCCCGGGGGCAAAGGCAGACAGCAGCCCCGGCCCCUCUCCUUGCACUUGUCCUCAGCCUUUUUCCAGAACCGAGAGCCGUCGGGGAACUGAGGAGGAGGAAAAGGAAGGAGAAAUAGGCAUAGAACCUUUAAGGGGAAAGUCGAGGAUUGAGACGCAGGAUAUCUCGGCUAGAAGGAAUGAAGAUUCGCUCCGAAGGUGUUGUUUUGUUUUUUAACAAAAAAAAUCUGUGCUUGGUCGGAAAAGAUUAACCCAAAAGUCCCCGACAAACAACGGCCCUUUGCAGGGGAUGCAAUCACACACAAAACAGCCCCAAACCGCCGCCUCUCGAGGCUCACUGCCAGCACGCACUACAGAGCUGUGCCGUCGGGGCACCCCGCUCCCGUCCGACCUUCUGCCGCGUCCCCCACGGCCCUCAUGCCUUCAAACAGAACCCUUCCUUGUAAAAGUCACUUUAUAGCGCCUGAGCCUGAAAACUACCAGGUAACAGCCUUUUUACAACCCGACUCCCAGGACACGGUUUCAUUUCUUU